rnacentral:rRNA from 1 species
GUGCCAGCCGCCGCGGUAAGACGGAGGAGGCAAGCGUUGUUCGGAAUUACUGGGCUUAAAGCGCGUGUAGGCGGUCCGACAAGUGCCCUGUGAAAGCCCUUGGCUCAACCGAGGAACGGCAGGGCAAACUGUCGAACUGGAGGCAGGUAGGGGCGACUGGAACUCUAGGUGGAGCGGUGAAAUGCGUAGAUAUCUAGAGGAACGCCUGUGGCGAAAGCGGGUCGCUGGGCCUGUUCUGACGCUGAGACGCGAAAGCGUAGGGAGCGAACGGGAUUAGAUACCCCGGUAGUCUACGCCGUAAACGAUGCGCACUAGGUCUGAGACUCUCUGACGAGGCUCGAGCCGAAGCUAAAGUGCUAAGUGCGCCGCCUGGGGAGUACGGCCGCAAGGCUAAAACUCAAAGGAAUUGACGGGGGCUCACACAAGCGGUGGAGCAUGUGGCUUAAUUCGAAGCAACGCGAAGAACCUUACCUGGGUUUGACAUGCACGGAUUAACCUUCCGAAAGGAGGGCCACGCCCUUCGGGGUGGAACGUGCACAGGUGCUGCAUGGCUGUCGUCAGCUCGUGCUGUGAAGUGUCGGGUUAAGUCCCUUAACGAGCGAAACCCUUGUCGCUAGUUGCCAGCGGGUCAUGCCGGGGACUCUAGCGAGACUGCCGGUGUUAAACCGGAGGAAGGCGGGGAUGACGUCAAGUCCUCAUGGCCUUUAUGCCCAGGGUUGCACACGUGCUACAAUGGGGUGUACAGAGCGACGCAAGACCGCGAGGUGGAGCAAAUCGCAAAAAACACCCCUCAGUUCGGAUUGCAGGCUGCAACCCGCCUGCAUGAAGUUGGAAUCGCUAGUAAUCGCGUAUCAGCUACGACGCGGUGAAUAUGUUCCUGAGCCUUGUACACACCGCCCGUCAAGUCAUGGGAGCUGGGAGCACCCGAAGUCCGUUUAGCUAACCCUCGGGAGGCGACGGCCGACGGUGAGCUCGGUGACUGGGACUAAGUCGUAACAAGGUAACC